rnacentral:rRNA from 1 species
GACGAACGCUGGCGGCGUGCUUAACACAUGCAAGUCGAACGAAGUGGCGAACGGGUGAGUAACGCGUAAUCAACCUGCCCUUCAGAGGGGGACAACAGUUGGAAACGACUGCUAAUACCGCAUACUGAAGGAGGGGAUUGCGUCUGAUUAGCUAGUUGGAGGGGUAACGGCCCACCAAGGCGAUGAUCAGUAGCCGGGCUGAGAGGAAUAACGGCCACAUGGGGAAUGGGACACGGCCCAUACUCCUACGGGAGGCAGCAGGGGGGAAUCUUCCGCAAUGGGCGAAAGGCUGGAGGAGCAACGCCGCGGUAGUGAUGACGGCCUUCGGGUUGUAAAGCUCUGUUAAUCGGGACGCGGUACCGGAAUAGAAAGCCACGGCUAACUACGUGCCAGCAGCCGCGGUAAUAC